rnacentral:snoRNA from 1 species
AAGGCUACACUUUUAGGGUUCAUUUCUAUAGUUUGUUACUAGAGAAGUUUCUCUGAAAAUGUAGAAUAUCCAGAAAAC